CCCUUAUCAUACAAUGUUUUUAUCAGUAUUAUUAAAUAUUUAAGCCUCUUUGAAGUCAUACAACAUGUAUAUUUAUAAAACAUUUCACAGGUAUUGUAUAUAUAAAUCAUUAAACAGAGAAUCGAUUUAUUGCUUUUGUUGCUUUUAUCUUUAAAAUGAUGAUGACGAUGAUGAUUAUCAUUAUCAUUAUAAUAUCAUGUAAUCACAACGAUCAGAAAGUUUAACAUAAUCGAUAAAAUUGAUACUUCAAAAUGAAAGAAGUACUAUGUUUAGAUAAAUCAUACCGUUAUAUUCUAUUUAUAGCUUUCAUAAUUAUCAUUCAUGUUCCGGGUUUACAGGUAAUAACAUAAUUUACUGCUUAAGUCAUUUUUAUAGACAAUUACUCGAUAAAAUUGUACGUAAAUGAAAGGUUUUGGCAAAAAAGAACCAACAGAAAUGUGCUUUAAAACUUAAUUUUUAUUUUUGAAAUGCUAAAACGAAAUCGCGUCGAGAUGAAAACGAUUGGUGUUAUUUUAAACAUCACGGACUUAGUUAAUAUUUAUCAGGGAGUCUCAAACUCAACUGGUUAUCAAGAGGUUGUUUCCACCACAGACGAUGUCGAAUUUGUGGUAUUGCGCUUCCUGUUCUUUAUACUGACGGUAAUGUUAAUGUUUGUGGUCGGCCUCGGCUGUUACCGUGUAAGAAAUAAAUGCAAGGAACCUGCUGUUAUAUAUGAUUUAUGACUGUAAUAUAUGGAAGCAAAUAUACAAAAAGGUUCCAAACACAAGAAAAGAGGAAACGAUGUCAACAGACGUAAACAUCAAAUUCCCCGGUGCGGUGAAUAUUGAUAUAGAACAAGAUGAAGAGGGAAGAAGGUGUUAACAUAUUAUAAAGUUUCAGAGAGAGAGAGAGAGUUCUUCAAUAAGAUUUCUUUGUGAUGUACAAUGACAGACAAUAGAUCAUCUAUUUCGAGAAUAGUGAAUAAAGGCACAUUUAAUUGCUCAAUAUAAUGAUCAGUCAAUGAAAAUAUAAUCUAUAUAUUGAUUAAAGGACAUCAUCUUUAUAUUCAGAGGUUGAUUGAAUAUACUAAAUAAAAUAUGAACACCAUAAAUUGUGUUUUUUAAAUCGAACAUUUAAAAACAUUAAAUUAGAAUAUUUUGCAGUAGUUCGAGUACGUAUAUCUUUUGAUGGUACUCCACCCUUUUCAACUUGAUAUAUUUUUCAUCCUAGUACUUCCUAAGCCUUAAAACCAAACAAAACCAAAACACAGAUAACUUUGAUGCGACCUUUUGUGAAAACCAAAUUAUAACAUGUAUCAAUUAAUGUGAUAAGCAAUUAAGCGUAUACAUACAUGUUUAUAUACAAGCGUAGAUGCUUCAUAUACAUUUGUAUAGAUUGGUUUUCACAUCUCUUGGAUGAGUGUUUGUUUUUAUUAUGCACGUAUGUACAAAUUAAGAAAAUAGAAUAAUGAUCAACUGUAUAUAAGCUGUUAGUUGCAUCCCCUUAAAUGGUGAUAACAGAAUAUCAUCCAACACGGAUAUAUAUGUAUAAAUCCCUUGUUGUUAGUUUCUCUUAUUGCACUAAU